rnacentral:lncRNA from 13 species
AUGGAUCCUGUGAUUACUAUAGUUCUGGUGGUGGCAGCAGCAGCAGCGCAAGUUAGUGCCAAGGCCUGUAAUCUCUCUCACAAGAAUGGAACUCAUCACUGCUAUGGGGCUUUGGGAGAGUCUUUGUCCUUACAGCUGGCUGCAGACAGCAGGAAUGAAGAAAUAACAUUGAAAACAUCUUUUACUCGUAUUCUGCACUUCAAAACUGGAGAAGACUGGAGAUCUAAAUUUCAUCAGGAUUAUGUGAAUCGCUCCGAGUUCUUUAAUAAUGGAACAUUCAGACUGGACAGAGUUACAGAAGAAGACUCUGGAGAUUACCAAUUGGAAACAUAUAAUUCAGCAGGAAAAUUGUUGUUCAGAGUCAACAUGCUACUUGAGAUACAAGCCCCGGUGUCAGAGCCAGUGUUGUCUCACCUCUGUCUGCCUCAUGGAGAAACCGUGGUCACAUGCUCCUCAGAGGGAGAUGGUCUUCAGUACAGCUGGACCCUGAAUGGCCAGAAUCUGACCAGGAGUGUAGCCUAUGACCACCACCAGAACAGUGUCAUCAUACUGAAGAGUGAUGUGACAGAAACCCUGACCUGUAUGGUUCAGAAUAAAGUCAGCACCAGCAACUCUACUAUUCAUCUACUGGCCUGUCCAGUUGUCUCUUCCCAGUUUCCUUCAGUAGCUGUGACAGUGUCUGUGGCUCUGACUGUUGGAACUCUCACACUUCUUGCACUGUUUGUUGGUAUUAACCAUCUAUGCAAGAAACAAAGAUCCAGAUUUGAUACGUCAUGUGAAAUGUUAGAAGUAAUUUAGUUUCACGUCCAGAACAUACAUUUGAAAUGUUGAAUAAACAUGACAUUUUGUUUCAUGUCCAGAUUGUACUACAGCUUCUAUUUUAUUUUUCAGAAAGUGUUUACGGGGUUGUUGUUUACGCUGAUGUGAAAAUAGGCAAGCAAAGAAAUCAAGCAAGGAAGCAGAGGCCACCAACCAGAGAUGGUAGAGUAUGGACAGAUCAAAAUGUCUGUGUACCAAGACGUGGCAGGCUGCCCAUAGACUGAAGUAGAGGUCGAUCGAUUAAUCGGAAUGGCCAAUUAAUUAGGGCCGAUUUCAAGUUUCAUAACAAUCGGAAACCGGUAUUUUUGGGCGCCGAUUUGCCGAUUUUUUUAUUUUAUUAUUAUUUUUAUACCUUUAUUUAACUCGGCAAGUCAGUUAAGAACACAUUCUUAUUUUCAACGACGGCCUAGGAACGGUGGGUUAACUGCCUCGUUCAGGGGCAGAAUGACAGAUUUUCACCUCGUCAGCUCGGGGAUCCAAUCCUGCAACCUUACAGUUAUCUAGUCCACCGCAAUAUCGACCUGCCUCUCUCUCGUUGCACUCCACAAGGAGACUGCCUGCUACGCGAAAGCAGUAAGCCAAGGUAAGUUGCUAGCUAGCAUUAAACUUAUCUUAUAAAAAACAAUCAAUCAUAAUCAUUAGUUAACUACACAUGGUUGAUGAUAUUACUAGAUAUUAUCUAGCGUGUCCUGCGUUGCAUAUAAUCUGACUGAGCAUACAAGCAUACAAGUAUCUAAGUAUCUGACUGAGCGGUGGUAGGCAGAAGCAGGCGCGUGCGUAAACAUUCAUUCAAACAGCACUUUCGUGCGUUUUGCCAGCAGCUCUUCGUUGUGAAUCAAACAUUGAGCUGUUUGACUUCAAGCCUAUCGACUCCCGAGGUGAGGCUGGUGUAACCGAAGUGAAAUGGCAAGCUAGUUAGCGCGCGCUAAUAGCGUUUCAAACGUCACUCGCUCUGAGCCUUCUAGUAGUUGAUCCCCUUGCUCUGCAUGGGUAACGCUGCUUCGAUGGUGGCUGUUGUCGUUGUGUUGCUGGUUCAAGCCCAGGGAGGAGCGAGGAGAGGGACGAAAGCUAUACUGUUACACUGGCAAUACUAAAGUGCCUAUAAGAUCAUCCAAUAGUCAAAGGUUAAUGAAAUACAAAUGUAUAGAGGGAAAUAGUCCUAUAAUUCCUAUAAUAACUACAACCUAAAACUUCUUACCUGGGAAUAUUGAAGACUCAUGUUAAAAGGAACCACCAGCUUUCAUAUGUUCUCAUGUUCUGAGCAAGGAACUGAAAUGUUAGCUUUCUUACAUAGCACAAUAUUGCACUUUGACUUUCUUCUCCAACACUUUGUUUUUGCAUUAUUUAAACCAAAUUGAACGUUUCAUUAUUUACUUGAGGCUAAAUAGAAUUUAUUGAUGUAUUAUAUUAAGUUAAAAUAAGUGUUCAUUCAGUAUUGUUGUAAUUGUCAUUAUUACAAAUACAUUUUUAAAAAUCGUCUGAUUAAUCGGCAUCUGCUUUUUUGGUCCUCCAAUAAUCGUAUCGGCGUUGAAAAAUCAUAAUCGGUCGACCUCUUGACUCAAGGGUAGACAUUUUAACCACAUGUAGCUUUGUAAAGCAGAUAUAAGACAAGGGUUGAGUGAACAUUAUGUGGAUGCACUGAUUGAGUAGAUGAGACAGACCAUCAAACUUAAAGACUAGUGUCAAAUAAACACAUCAAGAUGACAUCAUGCAUCAUGUAAGGAAAGCUAGGAAGAUGCACUGCAUGUAGUUUAGACUUUGUUAAC